rnacentral:rRNA from 1 species
GAGAGUUAAAUAGUACGUGAAAUUGUUGAAAGGGAAACGAUUGAAGUCAGUCAUGCUAGUGAAAAAUCAGUUUGACGGGUUUUGAGUUCGGGAGUAGAGGCAGGGUCAAACCGUUUCUCUUUUGGACUUGGGAUUUGUCGGAUGUACUUUUUCUUUGGCAGGUCAGCGUCGGUUUCGGAGGUUGUAAAAUACUUGGGGGAAAGUAGCUCUGCUUCGGGAGAGUAUUAUAGACCCUGGGGGAUGCAGCCUGUGGGAUCGAGGAUUGCAGCAAAUGCCUUUGGCUUGUCGCCUGAUCUCUGGAUGUUACCUUGCUUGUGACAACAUUCUUGCCACCGGUGAGUACUGAUGCCCAUUAGGUUAGAACGAUCAAAAAUUUGCUAAGGAUGCUGACGUAAUGGCUUUAAACGA